GGAUGUGAGGGUGAUCUGGCUGCAGCACCUAUCACCACAUUGAUCACCGGGGUUGAUCUGGCUGGUCUGGCUGGCGAGGCAGCUGUCCCCUUCCUCCCUCACCACUCUGUGUGCAUCCCUCCCAUGCUUGGUCAAAGAGAAUAACUUUCCCUAAUAGAGGAGGACCAUUUUUCAGUAAGGGUAUUGGAAAUAGCUGCACUCUCUUGCUAGAACCUCCAAUCAACCUCUCAAAGUCUAUUUGCAGGAGAAUGUAGGAUCGUCAAGCUUCCAAGGCUCCAGAUACAUCCAAAUGAUGCACUGUAUGCGGCAAUCUGCCUUUCUAU
rnacentral:snRNA from 1 species